rnacentral:rRNA from 1 species
CAACUCGCCUGCAUGAAGUUGGAAUUGCUAGUAAUCGCGGAUCAGCAUGCCGCGGUGAAUACGUUCCCGGGGAUUGUACACACCGCCCGUCACACCAUGAGAGUCGGGAACACCCAAAGUCCGUAGUCUAACCGCAAGGAGGGCGCGGCCUAAGGUGGGUUCGAUAAUUGGGGUGAAGUCGUAACAAGGUAAC